AAAAGACAAAACAAGAAGCAAAAACAUGAGCGACCCAAGCGGCCAAUCCUCAACAACAGCUGUCAGAGGAGACAGCAACGGCGGUGGUAAUAGCGGCGGCGGCGGCUCGUUUGCUAGUCAGCCGCAGAGAGCAAAGGUGAGGACGCAAGUGUGGGCUGGAGUUCUCGGCAUCACCAACAAAUAAUUUUGUUAUUCUUUUCACUUUUGACAACAAAAUGUCUAAGUGAAAAAUGGUGGUGGUGAACUGGUGAUUAUUAUGCUUUUGAUCGUUGUUCUUGUUAACUUGAUUGUGUCUAAAUAAACCAGCGAGAUCAUGAUCAUUAUCGUCAUUGUAAUGAGAUUUUGAAAAUUUUUUCUUUCUUUCAACUUCUGCAACUAAUUUUAGAAAACCCUAAACAAAAUUACAAAUAUUUAUUGUGUAGAUAAAAAUUAGAUUUCUCUCAUUUGAAUCGAUGUAUAAAGCGAUAUCAGAAACAAUAUCAUUAAUUGAGGGUCGAGUAGGCAGGGGCGGUCCUUAUAUUUCUGGGGCCCUGGGCGAAUUUUUUUUUUUUGUAAAAGGAUAAUAAAAUCGGGGGCCUAAUUACAAUAAAUUAAAAAAUUAGGGGCUUAUUUGUUAAUAAUUUUUUGCUGAUUUUUUUUUUAAAAAAUAGGGGCCCUAGGCGGUCGUUUCAUUCCGCUCUCCUCAGGACCGCCCCUGCGAGUAGGUACGUUGAUAUCGCUUGCGCAUAAUUUCAAAGUAAACUAAUGAGAAUUUGAUGCUAAGUUAAGUAAGCUACGCUAGUUUCUCAGAAUCACAUGGCCAUUAAAAUCAGAAGGAACGUGCAUUAGUUUAUAUAAAAGACCAUUUUAAAAGAAUUUUUAAAGGUAAAAUAAAACAGACUAUAAAAAUAUUAUAUGGUGUGUGGAGUGUUUUUGAAUGGAAUAAUAUCCACUAUAAGUAAAAAAUAAUAUAUAUAUAUAUAUAUAUAUAUUUUUUAAAUCCACCAUAAGUGCCAUUAUCCACAACAAAUAUUUAUAUAUAUCUCUCUAGCUAAAUUUUCACAGAUUAUGCGAGUUUACGAAGAUGCCUCUACACCAUAUGAAUAUGGUUUAGCCGUUUGUAAUUGAUAAGAAUUCAGUUUGAUAUAGAUGUACAUGUACCAUGAACGUCUACUAAUUUUCUAAAAAUUGCAAAAAAAUUGAUCAGAUGACAAAAUAAACAAUUUGGCAUACAAUGGACUUAAAUAGACCAAGUUGGUCUGGCCAAGUAGGCAACUACGAAUAUUUUAGAACUUUUAGCCUAUUAGAAAAUGCAUUGGGCUAUCAUAUUGGCUAUGUUUGAGCUAGGCUUGUCAGUUGGGUUGGACCACACCCAAAUAGAUAUGUCUAAGUGAGCGUUUUUUUUUCUGGGUUCAAAACACUCACACUCAUAUUCAGCCCACACCCAACAGCACUCAUACCCAGUAACACCCAUCACCCAAUUGAACACCCAAACCCGUCCAUUUAUAAGCAAUUUAAGUAUUAGUCCAAAUCUAUUUUUUUUUUCUGAACACCUACCUAAAUCUGUUUAAAUUCAAAUGGAAAAUUUCUUUAUAAGCAGCAGGGAAGAAAACCUUCAAUCAAAAACGAGAUAAAUAUGAGUUUUAUAAUCUAAACAAUUCAUCAUCAUCAUCAGAUUCAGAGCAAGAGUAAAACGAGAUAGAUUCAGAGCAAGAGUAGAACGAUUCAUCACAGAUUUACAAAACUGGAUCGAAGCUAAAAGCCAAAAACCCACAACAUAGAAACGAGAUGGAUGAUCGAAUCAUGAAACAUACCUGAAAUCGCGAGAAGAAAAAGUAGAAAAUGGAGAAAUCUUGUACGGAUUAAGAGAAUCAAAGCCGGAGAAGACGAAUCGAGAAGCAAAGAUCGAUUUUGCCAGACCGAUCGAGAAGAAAAGUCGAAAAGAAUCGCAAAAUAUUUUUUCCCCAAAUUGACUAAACUCUAGAAAUCAAGUGUUUUGGGCCAACCCAACAUCCAUUUGAUUUGGACCAGUUAACCCAUGGACAAAGUAGGUCUUUAGCCCAGUUAGACCAAAAGUUAUUUGGGUAUUACCAUCACCUACCCAUAUUUGUUUUGAAUGGGUGAACCCAUGAGUGGCCCAACCAAUUGACACCCCUAGUUUGAGCAAACCAUAGAAGGUCUCUAAUUCACAACCGGCUAGAUCCUUCUUGUAAGCGGUGCACCUCGUAGUUUAUACACCAAACAGAUUGAAUUAUUAUUAUUUACAUAUUUCUGCUUUAAUCGAAUUUAAAUUCAAAAUUUUAAUAAUUUAGACCACCUUAUAUAUAAUUUUAAGAAGUAAAUAUAGAUUAAUUAAGAAAAGGCCUAACAUUAUUAAGAUACAAAUACAUGUGAAAGUUUGAAAUAAUCUAUUUAAUGAAAAAAAUAUACCGUACACUUAUUAUGUCUUAAAAAUUGAUAGAUAUAUAUAUAUAUAUAUAAUAUAUACCAAUUUAAAAUUGAAAACAAAAUGUUUAUAUAAAAAUAAACAAAAACAAAACCUCCUGCGGUUGCGCGAGCCAAGAUCUAUUUAUGAUUAAAGAAAAGCAUUUUUGUGGUCCGCUUUAGGCGCUAUACGAAUCACAGACCGGCACUGAUCACAGAUUCACAGUAGACAAACUCUAACAUAACUAACCUUCAUAACGCACACGUACUGUUUCUUGUAUCACUUCACAAACUAAUACAAAACACCCUAUAUCUCCAAUCUCUCCAUUUUUUUACUAUGUACGUGAGCCCAUGACAAUAUCUUGAAAACCACAUCUUCCAUACUAAUAUCAUAACGUGUUUGGUAACGAGGAGAAUAAAAGAGCUCCACUAAGUUGCCAUUUACAAGAUUAAUUCUAAGUUCUAACAGAUAAGUCAGUCAAUAAACUCCACAGCCUCUGCAUGUUUCACUGAAAAAUAGUACUGAGGAAACAAAACUGACUUCACACUUCUUGGUGUCUUCCAUAAAUGUUCGAGAACAUUACAGCGUUCUUAAGUUUGGUGUGUCAAAUUAUAUGAACGUCACCACAACGAAAUCCGAUUAAUUGACAUUAUUAGAAAAAUUAAUUCUAAUCAAGAUUUGUUUGCUAGCAAAUAUAUGUAAUAUUAUAUCUCGAAGUUGUAUAAUCAUGAAACCUCCGUAAGAAGCUCGAUCCAUACAAGCUCAAGCUUCUUACACCACACCUGAUGGAAGACGAAGAACAAGCUGUCCACCCAUUAAACUGUUUCCAGAAAACAGACAGAAGUUCCAAGUCUUUAGGCAUUCAAAGGUUUUCAACAAUAGUGUCUAUAAUUAAGAUCCUUCAUUAAUUUUGUUUUACCUCUGGACAUAGUAAUAACAGAAAUCUGCAAGAAUGAAGGUUUGGACGAUUUCAGAGAGAAGGACCAUUAUAGGCCAUAAUCCAUAUCCUAAUGCAGUCAGUAACCGCCCUCCCGAAUCCAACACCUACACGCACGCGUUUCAUAUAAUCUUUCAGAAGCUGUAAUGCGAUAAAAAUGAUGAUUAAAAGAGUUUAUAUUAAAAUGUAACUCUCAAGAACCUGAAGGAUCCAGUGUGCACAACUCAAGAACCUUGCGAUUCCCAAAGCAAAAACGUAGUGUGCUGUAAAUGGUUCCACAAUCUGAGAAUAUAUGUAAGAGGUUAACAUUCGAAGAAGAUUCAGAGGCAACGUGAGUUUUAGUUUUAUUUAAAACAAAGCAGAUUAAUGAUUAAUUAAGACCUGAGUGUUCUGCAUGACUCUUAACUGAGGAAGAACUGAAACAGCUUCAAGAUAAACACAGAACGCCCAGAAGAGCCUGUUUAUGAUGUGGUGACGUGUGGAUGGAUGAAUGAGGAGUGAUACAACAGCACAUGGGACUACCUGAUGCAAACAAACCAAAUAUUAAAUUGGAGUCAAGAUUCUUAAUAAUCAAUAUGGUUACUCCUAUAAUCAAUGAUUAAGCGAGUGUUUAAUACCGGGAUCCUAACAAAAUAAACGACAUGCACGUAGAGUCAGAACGAAGAGAGAGCCUUUAAGUAUAUGAUUAGCCUCGACCUUGCCUUAAAUCUAAGAUAACUACUCAAAGAGUUUGGCAACUUACAACGUAGUAGAUGGGGAAGUUGUCUUUGUCUUCCAUAUAAGUGGGUCUAAGCUUGAGACGUAUCAUAUAGAUGACCCAAAGGGUCGUGACCAACGUAGCAGAGUCGAGUAACGUGUGAAGAUCAAAUUCCAUUACAAAGCUACAAUACAACCGCACGGCAAGAAACAGAGCCGUUAGCUCCUGCGUCUUGAGAGAUAUCCCUGUUUCAUCAUCGAUCACAUUCACAUGGAGGAUCAAAAGGAUUAUAACAGAACAAGAGCAUCCCAAAAAUGAAAUGUAAUAUAACCAGCGCAAGUCUUCUCCUUGGUGAGCUUGUAGAUGAGAAGGGAGAUGCCGAGGGCAUGGACAGCCUCGGAAGCAAUGAAAAGGUUGUCGUGCUCAUGGACAAUGACCUUGAGGAAGACGAGGACCGUCAUUGCCGUAACCACAGCAAAAAACGCCUUUACCUUGGGAGGCUGCCGGCGAAUCCACGACAUCACGCACUGAAUCGGACUCUUCUCCGCCUUCAUCGUUCUGAUUCCCUCCACAGACACACAAACUCUCUCUCUCUCUGAUUAACGAUAUGCCAGCCACAAAAUUAUCAACUUCGUUUUCAAUGGGAAACGAAUCUGCAUGUCUUAACGCAAGACACUUCUUUUGCGAAGAGGACACGUGGGGGAAGCUAGAGUUGCUGUUAGGUCAGAGAGGCUGAUAGUUUCUGUUUUUUUUUUCUAACGACUUGACUUGCAGCUACGUCUCUCUUUUCCGGAUUAGAAGAACUAUUGGUUUACUUCGGCAAAACUCAAUUUUACCGGGUUCUUCUUUAAACCGGCUAAUUGCGGUUCGAUUCAACUAAUUAAUGUUUUCCUUUUCGGUUUAGAAGAUUAAAAUGACGCCGCGAGCUCCCUUUGUUUCGGAUUAGACUAUUGGUUUACUUCGGAAAAAACGCGGGUUCUUUUUUGAACCGAGUAAUUUCGGUUCGAUUCAACUAAUUAAUGAUUUUCCUUUUUGGUUUAGAAGAUUAAAACGACGCCGUUUCGGGUUAGGGCAUAACUGACCAAGGGGGAGACACCGGAAACACACAACAGCGGUUUCAUUCUCAAAUCUGCCCCCAAGCUUGUUGGUAGAAGGAGAAGAAGAUGACAUCGGAUGAUGCUAAAGCUGUGAAGAAAGAGGAGGAUGAGGACGACAACAAGAGCUUGGGUUCCUUGGCUAGGAAGAAGCCCUCAAACGCCAACAAUGCAGGUUCGUCAGCUUCGAGGAAAUUGAAGAAGGACGAGGAUGAUGAUAACAAACCCAUUAAGUCGUCUUUAUCUGGGUCUCGUCCAAAGCCGGUUAAGAAGAAGGAGAUUGAUCAAGAAGACGACGACGAUGAGAAGCCUCUUUCCAAGAGGAAUUCCUCUGUUGUUGGCGUCUCAAAGGUUCCUUCUUUUCUCUUCUCUUUCGCUGUCUGAUUAUAAUUUCUUAGAGAUGAGAUUUGAUGAAGGAUUGUGUUGGUGUCUUUAGGAGAAAGAGUUGAAGAAAAAGAAGAUGGAGAAAGAGAAAGAGAAAGAAGAAGAAGAGGCAAAGAAGAAGAAUACGGUGAAAGAAGAAGGAGAAGUGAAGAAGAAGAAGGAGAAGAAAGUGUAUGAUUUGCCUGGUCAGAAGAGAGACCAACCUGAGGAGGUGUCUUUUGGACUCCUCCUUUUAUUCUGAUUUGUGAGAUUUGUGGCUAAUUCGUUUUAAUUUAAAGAACUUGCAUUGUUGAUUUUUUUUUUGUAAUUUCUGCAGAGAGAUCCACUUAGGAUUUUCUACGAGUCACUUCACAAGCAAGUUCCCACUAGCGAAAUGGCUAAGAUUUGGUGAGGCCUUUCUAUUCAUUCCUUUGUGUGCCUAUAUUGUUCUGCAACCUCGUUAUAGUUUUGAUAAGAUGAGCAAUUUCAACUGUAUAUUGUUUUGGUGUGACUCUGAUUAUUAUUAUGUUUGAGUUGAAGACUUGUAGUAUUCUGUUUUCGUUUGUUUCUUGUGUGUGGUGGCACUGGUAUUAACAGACUAACACUCUUCAUAUGAAAAGGCGAGUCCUUUCAACAAACCAAGAACAACACAAAGCAUUAUUAUUACAUCUCUGAUUGGUUGUGGUGUGGGUUCUGUUCAUAUUUUGCUUGAGAUUGCUCUGCUUAUUUGAAGACCCUUUUUUUCUUAUCUCAGGUUGAUGGAGUCAGGGUUGCUUCCAGCUGCAGAGGCAAAGAAAGUUCUUGAGAAGAAAUUGCAAAAGACUGGAAAGUUCAGUUCUCCAACAAAAUCUGCAGCUUCCACCCCAAGAACGGCUUCUUCUACCCCAAGAAGUACCAGCUCCAAAUCUGUAGUGACCGAGAAGAAGGAAGUUAAAAAACCAGCAUCUGAAGCUUUGUCAGGCAGAAAGAAAGGAAAUGAUUCGAAGAAGCGGAAGAAGGAUUCUGAUUCUGAUUCUGAUGAUGAUGAUGAUGAUUUCGUGGCUAGCAGAGUCUCUAAUAAGAAGGCAAGAGCCAAGUAGUUGGAAAUUUAAAACACUCAGAAAUCUCAGUUGUGUGAUUUGAAACAAUCUAAUUGUGUGUUUCAGGACUUAAUUUGUUGAACCCCUCGAAAUUGAAUUCUGUAUAAGAGUAAUGGCAGAGUUUUGUUUCUAGUCUAUUUAACUGGCUCAUUCUUCAGGUGUUCUCUUUCACCAUUGGUAACUCUAGUUAUUUUAUCAAAACCUUAAUGUGUGUGUUCCUUUGUACACUUUUCUAAACUCUUAUUAUAAGAGUUGUUGAUGAUGAACCUUUUAUUAAAAAUGAUUUAACUUGAAGUUGGUUGGAUUGUGAAACUUUUGAAUAUGUGAUAAAUCUUUUUGCCAACGAUGGUUUGUAAUGGUAUAGGUAUAUAUUGACUCUACAAAGAGAAGACAACACGUAAGCAUUGAAAUCAGAAUUCACAUGUAAGUUUGUUUGUUUUGUUGAUUAGGUGUUUGGAGAGCUCUUCUGAUAGACUUGGAAGAAAACCUUCAAUCAAAAACGAGAUAAAUAUGAGUUUUAUAAUCUAAACAAUUCAUCAUCAUCAUCAGAUUCAGAGCAAGAGUAAAACGAGAUAGAUUCAGAGCAAGAGUAGAACGAUUCAUCACAGAUUUACAAAACUGGAUCGAAGCUAAAAGCCAAAAACCCACAACAUAGAAACGAGAUGGAUGAUCGAAUCAUGAAACAUACCUGAAAUCGCGAGAAGAAAAAGUAGAAAAUGGAGAAAUCUUGUACGGAUUAAGAGAAUCAAAGCCGGAGAAGACGAAUCGAGAAGCAAAGAUCGAUUUUGCCAGACCGAUCGAGAAGAAAAGUCGAAAAGAAUCGCAAAAUAUUUUUUCCCCAAAUUGACUAAACUCUAGAAAUCAAGUGUUUUGGGCCAACCCAACAUCCAUUUGAUUUGGACCAGUUAACCCAUGGACAAAGUAGGUCUUUAGCCCAGUUAGACCAAAAGUUAUUUGGGUAUUACCAUCACCUACCCAUAUUUGUUUUGAAUGGGUGAACCCAUGAGUGGCCCAACCAAUUGACACCCCUAGUUUGAGCAAACCAUAGAAGGUCUCUAAUUCACAACCGGCUAGAUCCUUCUUGUAAGCGGUGCACCUCGUAGUUUAUACACCAAACAGAUUGAAUUAUUAUUAUUUACAUAUUUCUGCUUUAAUCGAAUUUAAAUUCAAAAUUUUAAUAAUUUAGACCACCUUAUAUAUAAUUUUAAGAAGUAAAUAUAGAUUAAUUAAGAAAAGGCCUAACAUUAUUAAGAUACAAAUACAUGUGAAAGUUUGAAAUAAUCUAUUUAAUGAAAAAAAUAUACCGUACACUUAUUAUGUCUUAAAAAUUGAUAGAUAUAUAUAUAUAUAUAUAAUAUAUACCAAUUUAAAAUUGAAAACAAAAUGUUUAUAUAAAAAUAAACAAAAACAAAAACUCCUGCGGUUGCGCGAGCCAAGAUCUAUUUAUGAUUAAAGAAAAGCAUUUUUGUGGUCCGCUUUAGGCGCUAUACGAAUCACAGACCGGCACUGAUCACAGAUUCACAGUAGACAAACUCUAACAUAACUAACCUUCAUAACGCACACGUACUGUUUCUUGUAUCACUUCACAAACUAAUACAAAACACCCUAUAUCUCCAAUCUCUCCAUUUUUUUACUAUGUACGUGAGCCCAUGACAAUAUCUUGAAAACCACAUCUUCCAUACUAAUAUCAUAACGUGUUUGGUAACGAGGAGAAUAAAAGAGCUCCACUAAGUUGCCAUUUACAAGAUUAAUUCUAAGUUCUAACAGAUAAGUCAGUCAAUAAACUCCACAGCCUCUGCAUGUUUCACUGAAAAAUAGUACUGAGGAAACAAAACUGACUUCACACUUCUUGGUGUCUUCCAUAAAUGUUCGAGAACAUUACAGCGUUCUUAAGUUUGGUGUGUCAAAUUAUAUGAACGUCACCACAACGAAAUCCGAUUAAUUGACAUUAUUAGAAAAAUUAAUUCUAAUCAAGAUUUGUUUGCUAGCAAAUAUAUGUAAUAUUAUAUCUCGAAGUUGUAUAUAAUCAUGAAACCUCAGUAAGAAGCUCGAUCCAUACAAGCUCAAGCUUCUUCUUACACCACACCUGAUGGAAGACGAAGAACAAGCUGUCCACCCAUUAAACUGUUUCCGAAAAACAGACAGAAGUUCCAAGUCUUUAGGCAUUCAAAGGUUUUCAACAAUAGUGUCUAUAAUUAACAUCCUUCAUUAAUUUUGUUUUACCUCUGGACAUAGUAAUAACAGAAAUCUGCAAGAAUGAAGGUUUGGACGAUUUCAGAGAGAAGGACCAUUAUAGGCCAUAAUCCAUAUCCUAAUGCAGUCAGUAACCGCCCUCCCGAAUCCAACACCUACA
rnacentral:lncRNA from 1 species